rnacentral:rRNA from 1 species
UUUCGAAUUAUUCACAAUGGGCGCAAGCCUGAUGGUGCGACGCCGCGUGGGGGAUGAAGGUCUUCGGAUUGUAAACCCCUGUCACCGGGGAAGAAACGCUGAAUGUUAACAUCAUUCAGCCUGACUUAACCCGGAGAGGAAGCAGUGGCUAACUCUGUGCCAGCAGCCGCGGUAAUACAGAGACUGCAAGCGUUAUUCGGAUUCACUGGGCGUAAAGGGUGCGCAGGCGGCCGUGUGUGUUAGGCGUGAAAGCCCGAGGCUUAACCUCGGAAUUGCACCUAAAACUACACGGCUAGAGUACUGGAGAGGGUAGCGGAAUUCACGGUGUAGCAGUGAAAUGCGUAGAUAUCGAGAGGAACACCCGUGGCGAAGGCGGCUUUCUGGACAGCGAUUGACGCUGAGACGCGAAAGCGUGGGGAGCAAACA